rnacentral:rRNA from 1 species
UACGAAGGGGGCUAGCGUUGUUCGGAAUUACUGGGCGUAAAGCGCACGUAGGCGGCUUGGCAAGUCGGAUGUGAAAGCCCUCGGCUCAACCAAGGAAGUGCAUCCGAAACUGCUGAGCUUGAGUACUUAAGAGGAUCGCGGAAUUCCCGGUGUAGAGGUGAAAUUCGUAGAUAUCGGGAGGAACACCAGUGGCGAAGGCGGCGAUCUGGGAAGAUACUGACGCUGAGGUGCGAAAGCGUGGGGAGCAAACAGG